rnacentral:lncRNA from 1 species
GAUUACGUAAAGGUGCAGAUUUCCAAUGAUGAAUGUCAUUAUAUUGUACACCUAAAAUGUACCAAUAAAAUUAAUUUUUAAAAUCUAUAAAAUUUAUACCUGCAGAUUUUACUCAUUUUAAACCUAUGACUAUGCCAUAAUUUGCAUGUUCUUCUGCUAAGUAAAGCAGUUGUCACUAGUUGUCACUAGUUGAUAAAAAUUUUUAUAUAACUUUUCUUUUGAUUUUCUUUAAGAUUUCUUUUGGAGUGUUUUUCAUUUUCCACAUCCAUGGAUUGUUUUUAAAGAUUGUUUGCUGUCAUCGCAUUUGAGUCAGUUAACAUGACCUGGAUAACAUCAAUUUCCUGGAUUUGUGUUGAUUUCAGAAAAAAAAAAUGAUAAAUCCAAGAAGGCAACCUUGGUUUAAAAUAGAAGAAGGUACUGGUAAGAAAAUAAAGCUUUUAUAGGAAAUGAUUUUAUUAUUCUGAAAUACUGUGUGUUCUUACUAUACCACAGUAGUUAUUAUCCUCAUUACAUAAAAAACCAGAAUUUGGGAAAUUUUUUUUUUUUGGUGAUCUCAGGGAUCCAUAAAACAAACAGAUGGGAAAGGUCAUAUUUACAUUUAAUUUCUGCAUUGUCUCCUGCUUUUGCUAUGAAAAAUCCAGCAGUUAGGAGUUUAUGAGUUAGAGUCUGCUCUGCCUGAGCUCCUCAAUGCAAAGUUCUUGGGAUUUCAUUCAGUGUCAAGCACAAAGUUCCUGUUUAUCUGCUGAGGGCAGUAUUCAUUUCACGUAUCUAAGGUAUUGUUGAUUUAAUUUGUAGACUGAAGUUAUAGGAGUGGGAGCUUUCUUCCUUAACAUGUAUGAAUUCUGUUGAUAAAUUGCAUAGACUCUUUGAACCCAUGCAUCUAGUUUUUCUCCAUCAUAGCUGUGGAAGUAAAAUUAAAAUGUGACUAUAGCAAAUUCUAACUCAAAUAGAGUUUUCUUCAAUGAUUUCUUUGUUGCCAAGUAAGUGGUCAUUAUUUGUGAAUGUUCCAAACAGCUUAAAAGCAUAUGUUUUCUACUUGCUACAAUUUCUUCUUAAAUGAAAAUUCUUUUGGUUUUCAAGCAUUGCUAAAUAUUUACUAGUUAAAUUUUAUUAUUCCUAUAAAUUUGAUAAAUGUGGUGAGGAAAAAAUGGCAGCAUGUGGACAGUUUACUGCCCUGGAUAUUCAUUACUCUCAAAUAAGACUAAAAUACAUAAGUGCCAAUUGGUGGUUGUCUUGGAAUUUCUUGAUAUUUCUUCUUGAUAUUUCUUUGCUGAGUAUUUUAAAAACAAAAAACUGAAGCCAGGUAGGUACUUUUCCUUUUUGGUGAAUUUCUUUUCUUUUUCUUUUGGUACCGGGGAUUGAACUCUGGUCCUUGCGCUUGUGCAGCAGGUGGCGAAACCGCUGAGCUAAACCCCCGGCCCCUUUGGUGAAUUUCUUUACUGCUCCCUCCGCCAAGUCUGAGUAUGCAUGAAUACUAUUCUCCAGCAGACUAAUGUUAUAAUUACUAUCUCAUUGAAGGAAACAUUGGUUGCAAUCAGACAAACAAACUUUUCUCACUUUUGAUACCAAGGACAGGAAGAUUUGUGCAGCGUGACAGUAUGAGGGUAAUAUAGAAACUCCAGUAGGCAUACAGGUUUUUAAUGGAAUCUUGGCUUUAAUGCUCUGUUAGGGAGCAGUAUCUAUAGAUUUGCCCUUCUAUUAAAACAGAUAAGCAUAUGCAGCCAGAUGAUGCAGAGAUUUUUUUUUUUUUAAAAAACGAACUAAUUAUAGUAACUUUCUGCUGUAACUUGACAACCACUUUGAGUAAACUAAAUGUAUUUCCUACUUACACUUGCAUAGAUAAUACAAGAGUUUCUCAUAUGUGCUGAGCACCUGGUUUUAAUGUCAGGAGUAGUGUGAACAAACACCUGGCCUCUUGCUAAUGACUCAGAGGUACCUUGAUUCAUGAACUUAAUUCAUUCCAUGGUUCAUGGAGUUCUGGUCAUGAACUGAAUCAGAUUUCCCCAUGUAGUUAAAUGUAAAUAAGGUUAAUCCAUUCUUACCCCUGCAAACCUGGUCGCAAACAGAUUUUUGGUCACGAACUGAGUCAAAUUUUCCCAUAAAGUUAAAUUGGAAAUAAAGUUAAUCCAUUUUGAAACACAUGUAACAUUAUUAAAUCACAGAACUAGGAAACAAAGUACUGUAUGCAGAGAGAAAAUACUAGCCUUGUUUGAAGUGACUUAGGGUCUGGAGGACAGCAAGGUCAUGGGGAGGAGGUUGUUGUUGGGAGAGAGUCCCCUCCAUAAGGACGUGGGAAGGCCUCCUUCAGGAGUUUCUUUGUCUCCUAGCUGCAGGGUCAAUUUUAAUGAAAGAUCUGCCUAAUGUCACUUGCUUUUUCCUGUGCUGUGUGACCCUCCAGAAAUGAGAGACCACAUGAUUGCUCGGCAGAUACAACAUUCUGUUUGUUAGUUAUGUUGGGCUGGUGCUUCUCAAAGAAAUCCCGGCACUCAUUCCCUUUUUCCAUGUUGCAUUUUAUCACGUCCCUGGUAACCUCCUCCCUGUCUUCCUUUUCCUCGGUGGACUGCACUUCAACAAUCACCUUCUACUGUUCACUCUGGAAUUCAACAAGUUCUUCCAUUCGCAGCUCUUCCUUAUGGCCCUCAACGAGCUCCUCUAUGUCUGCACCAUCGAUGUCCAGACCCAUCCUCUUGCCCAUGGACACAGUCUCCUCCACUGCCUGUGCAUCUGGCCCUUCAAAGCCACAUUCAGUGACACAUUCUGGCCGCAGUUUCUCCAGGCUGAUUUAGGGUCUAGUAUGUGACAUCUUCUCAGGGUUUGUCAACGCGACUGAUUCAAUACGGGAUAUUGAAAUAUUUCUUCCAGAACUCUGACGCAGGGAUGUCUCUUCAGUAACAUUAAAACACCUGGUGGAUAGCUCUUUUGUGUACAGCUUUUUGAAGUUGCAGAUCACUUCCUGGUUCAUGGGCUGCAGAAGAGGUGUUGUGGGUGGGGAAAGAACUUGAUCUUUAUGAAAUCAUACUCAGCAUCCAUAUCAUGCACUGGAGGGUAUGCUGGGGCACUGUCCAUCAGAAGAAGGCACCUUUCAGGCAGCUGGUUGUCAAAAAGAUAUUUCUUAACAAUGGAUACAAACACCUCUUGCAGCCAUUUCAUGCACAAUUACCUUGCGACCCAAGCUCUCAUGUUGGCACUCCACAUGACAAGUAGUCUGGUUCUUGUUCCCUUGAAUGCGUGAGGGAUCUUGGAAUGGUACGCCAGUAGUGGCUUCAGAUUGGCGACUGUGUUCCCACACAACAAAAGCGUCAGCCUGUCCUUCAUGGGUUUGUGCCCCAGCAGUGCAUUUUUCUCCUUCAUGAUACAGACUUUGUCAGGCAUCUUCUUCCAGAAGAGCCCUGUUUCAUCACAGUCGAACACUUGUUGAGCGAUGUAUUAUUCUGCCUCCAUGAAUUCUGUGAAUUCUUUUUUGUAGGCUUCUGCAGAAGCCUUGUCAGAAUAGAAGCCUCACCCUGUCUUAUCACACUGUGGAUGCCACUUCUCUUGCAGAAUUUAUCAAACCACCCUCUACUGUCUUUCAAUUCAUCCCUUGUUGCCUUCAUUAACAAUAACAAAACAUAACCCACAUUUAUGUUCUAGGUUCUAGUCUCAGUGUUUCAUGUGUGUUCUCUCAUUUCAUCCCUACAGCUGCCUUAUGAGGCAGGAGAGUAAGAAACAUACUGCCUUUGUGGAGUUAUUGUGAAGAUGAAAUGGAGAGAAGGUAAACCACUGGGGAGAAGGGUGUUGACCUACAGAGACUUCAACCAAUGCUACCAUCAUUAUUAAUGUAACAAACAAAAACAAAAGUCACAAAGGAUACUAGUAAGAAUGUGAAUGUGCUCCAGACACAGAGGUGGUAACUGGAUUGGCAAGACAGAGGAGGGAAUAUUAACCACCGGGUGACUUCCAAAGGGUAGAGAUUGAUGGACCAUGCAAGGAGGCUGCAGUCACAGACAGACCUGUACACAUACGCUGUGAAGUCUAUUUGUAUGCUUUUUAGCACAUGCUGCACCAGUACUAGAACCUAGAACAUAAAUGUGGGUUAUGUUUUGUUAUUGUUCAUGAAACAUAGCCUGCCUGUAUGGAUAAUGAGCCCUCCCCCCUUUGUAACCUUUACAUACCCUUUAUCUGGACUUUGGUUUCUGAGGGCUUUGGGUCCCAGCUAAAUGUUUUCCCAAAGAAUCUUUCCAGUUAAGCAGGGUUGGGGCAGCCAGAGUGAAACUUAGAAUCCCUUAAGACCAAGCUUCCAACUUUGAGUUCAAGAACACAUAUUUUAGGUGUUUUAGGUUUCUCCUUCCUAAGGUCCCACUGAAAGGCAGUAAAUACAUUGUGAAAAGGUAUAAAGUUAACAUAUUUUCAGAUAAAUGAAAUUUUAGGGGUUUUCUCACACACACCUGCACUAUAAGAAAUGCUACAGUUCCCUUUUGCUGGAGGCUAAUGAUACCCGAUGAAAAUUUAAAUAUGGGAAGAAAUGAAGAGUUCUAAAUAUAUACCCAUAUUUAAAAAAAAAAAUUUUAGUGUAUUUUAAAAAAACUUUUUAAUUUUAAGAGUUUCUUUAAAGGGCAACUAAAUUUAAAAUAAAAUUAUUAACAUAUAAAUGUAAUGCCAAAAGAAGCAUAAAAGACUUGGAUGAGUGGAAUUAUUAUUCUCCCAUGUGUCACAUGAGUUGGUUCCAUAAUAAUUUCAAGUAGGCAGAUAAAUUAGGCAGGCAUAUUGUAAUCCUUAGAGCAACAACUAAGAAUAACACUAAGGGGCAUAGCUAAAAGGAAAUAAAAUAUAACACUAAAACAGAUUUGAUUAACUAGGAGAAGAGAGAGGGAAAAGUGACAAUAAAAAGUAAUACCACAAGCAAAAUAACCAACAAACAGGCCAUAUAAGAAGAAAGAGGGUGUAGAAUUGCCCUUCACACUAAAUAGCUAAAAAGCCAAACAAUAUAUAGACCUACUGUUUGCAGACACUGGACAAUAGACGGUGAUGGGAAAAGGAAGACAGUCAUGAAGAGGGCUCCCAGAACCUCUGGCUGGAAGGGCUGUCCUGAAGGAAGGAGGAAUUAAACAGCAAUGCAGUCUCCCUAAAUCGAAGAGAGGUCAGAGUUUGGGGUAGCUAAAGCUGCUAAAAUUUGUGCAGCAGAAUACCCAAGACAGAAAGAGUCCUAAAAGUCUGAGUCUGGCUGAAUACAAAUCUGCUUGUGUAUACAUAGAGUCAAAUCAUAUAAGGUAAUCUAAAACAAAUUCUAGGAAUUAUCACUGCUCAGAAACAAUUCAGUUGUUUAGGGAACAAUUUGGGCUAUAAACAGAGCAUUUAAUAAGUUUGAUUUGGUUUCUUAUUGCUUAUUCAACCUCAGAAUGAAAAAUAGUCCUACCCUGCUCCUGAAAAAAAAGAAAAAAGAGGAGAAAAGAGCAUGAUUCUAAAGAAAGGCCCCAUCAAAGUAUGUCAUUGUGCCGCAUGUCUCCCCACUACCCUGCAUGCCUUUCUCUAAUUGUGAAGCUGAAUUCCAACACUCAACUCCUUGACCAUGCUGGUCGAUGUACUGGACGAUCACCAGGCUUACGGUGGUGAUACGGUGAUAAGAUGAAGAAGCAAGAAGAAGGAAGGCUGUGUCUUGCUUCCGAUGACCUGUGGAGAACGAGCUGAGAGUAGAACUGUCUAGGCCAAGGUGCCCAGUCUUCCUUAUUCUCCUGGGCCUGACAGGAAACAUCUGGGCACAUAAGCUUAAGAUGGAACAAUGUCUGGCCAUGUAGUUUAUCCCAAGGAAAUGCUUUAAAGCUAUCUGAUGAGAUCAUAUUUUACAUCUUUAUGUAAGUGGCUAAAGGAUUCAAGUUUGCAGCAUUCCAAAUGAAACCUCGGGAGAGAACUCACCAGCUGCUGAGUUAAGGGUGAGUGACAGGAUUUGGGAUUAAGGAUAUCUUGUAUGCAGAACUAAAAUCCCAAUUCAUUUCCCAGUGAUUGUACAUUGAGGAGUGGCUUAAUAGCCCAGGAGGAAUGGAAUGAGCUGAAUGAGAUAAAGUGUAAUUUGGUAUCUUAGACGCUUUAAAUAUCGAAAAGACAUUUGGCUGUUCAUAGAGAAUUUUCACGUUAUUUACAUAGCUGGCCUUUGGCGGUUCCCCAAGGUCCAGUCUACACAGGUCCUAGGGUCUGUGGGCUUGGCUGGGUAUUUAUUGCUCAUACUGUUCUGCAUCCACAAGCUGUGGCUGACACCAUCUGUCUUUAGUGCUGUAGUAACUGUACACUGGAGUUUUUCUGGAAAUUUAAGACCAGUCAGUUUUUCAGCCUUCUAUGCCAUUAUCCUUGCCCAUUAAGCCAAAAUUUAAUGCUUCUCCAUAUCAGUUUUAUUGCUUGUUAUCUCCAACCCUACCUCUCAUUGUUAGCUCUACAGUACAGGUCCUUCACGUUUCUCCUUAGAGCUGGUGUGCUAUUAAGCUUUGUCAAGAGAGUGUGUAGGAGUGACAUGAAAGGAAGCGACCUUUCUCUUCCUAGUGGUGGUGUUUCAUUAACUUCCUAUUUCUGCGGCGAGAUCCAUACAGAGGUGCGCUCCCCCACCAAAUUUCAGCACGCCCCUAGGAAGAUUUCCUAGGAGUCCUGUGGGCACCCCUCUGGUCCCUUCCUCUCUCAGCCUAAGGGGUGUUUCCUGGGUUCCAGUGCAGCAGGAGAAAUAGCAACCCCAAAGAUGUCCACGUCCUAAUAUUUAGAACCUGUGACUAUGUUAUGUAAGGUUGUGGAGGAAAUUAAGGUAACUGACAGAUCAUUCUAGAUUGUCCAGAAAAAGGCAGAAAAUGGAGUCAGUGAGAGUAAUAAUGGAAGCAAUUUUAGAGUAUUGCAAUAUGAGAGCUCAACCUGCUAUUGCUGACUUUGAAGAUGGAAAGCUUUGAAGAGCUCUAGCAUGGUAGCUAGAGAUGCAGCAGCCAUCUUGUGACCAUGAAGGACCAAAAGAAUUGCAGGAGAAUAGGCCUUGUAAUUAUGAAACUCUGCCUACUCCUGCAGCCUCUCACCUCAAGAUUUCUGGGUAUAUAAAACAAAAACAAAACAGACACCACUGAUUUUCUUUAAAGUACAAUGAUUACUUGCAGCCAAAAUGAAUUCUGUUGCACCAUACUAGGAAGAAUCUGGUCGUUCUUCUCUAAGUUUUCAUUUCACAGGUGGCACAGUUUUCUAGUCCAUUGUCAUCAAAUAUUUAUUAAUUUUUGUUUGCCUGUCUCACAUUUCUAAUGGUCUGAGCUCCUUGGGGUCAAGAAAUUAAUUUUAUUGGUACACUUUUGAUAUGCAUAAUGACCACUUUUGUAGUAGGGAAUUUGUGCCUGUACAUAAUAUAUCUUGAUUCUUCAUUUUUUCCCAUUCCCUUCCCCUCUCUUCAACCCUUCUUCCCCCACUUUACAAAAAUUUUACUUCCAUUUUUUAUUUCUAUUUUUUUCCUUUUCCCUUCCCUCCCUUCACCCAUGUGAACAUUUUCUUUCCACUUCCCAAUAUCUAUCAUCCAUUUUGGUCCUUAUUUAUGCUUUCCAGUUUCACAUAGAAACAAUGUGAUAUUUAAACGUAUGGCUGAUCUCGUGGUCCAUCCAUUUACCUAAAAAUGUCUCAAAUUUAUCCUUCUUUAUGGCAGAGUAAAACAUCAUUGUAUGUAAAAACCACAUUUUCUUUAUCCUUUCAUCCAAUGAUGCUCAUCUGGGCUGUUUCCAAGAUUUAGCUAUUAAAAAUUGUGCUGCUAUAAACAUGGGUGUGCAUAUAUCACUGUGGUAUGAUACUUUUAACUUUUUUGGGAAGAUACCAAGAAGGGGAAUAGGUGGGUCAAAUGGAACCUCUAGUUUAAGUUUUUUGAGGAAUCUCCAUAUUUCUUUCCAUAUUGGCCAUUUAUCUUCCAGCAGAUUGUUUCUGUUUUAAUAUUUAGAUCUUUGAUCCAUUUUGAUUUUAGUUUAGUGCAUGUUGAGAUAUAUUGGUCUAGGUUCAAACUUCAGCAUGUACAAAUCCAGUUUCCCCAGCACCACUUAUUAAAGAGGCUGUCUUUCUCCCAGUGAAGACAUUUGGCCACUUGGUCAAAAAUAAGGUGGCUGAGUAUGUUUGGAGUUUUCUACAUCUUCUGUACUGUUCCAUUGAUCCUCAAGUCUGUUUUGUUUUGUUUUGCCAGUACCAUGAUGUUUUUAUCACAGUAGCUCUGUAGUAUAAUUUCAAGUUGGGGAUUGUGAUGCUCCCUGCCUUGCCUUUGUUGCUCGGAAUUGCUUUGGCUAUUCUAGUUCUCUUCUGGUUCCAAAUGAAUUUUAGGAUUGUUUUCUAUAGUUCUGUGAGGUAUGCUGUGGGUAUUUUGAUUGUAAUUGCAUUAAAUAUGUAUAACAAUUUUGGAAGUAUGGUCAUUUCCACUAUAUUAAUUCUUCCUACCCAAGAGAAAGAGACAUCUUUCCAUUUUCUGAUAUCCUCUUUUAUCUCCUUUUCAAGAGUACUGUAGUUUUAAAUGGAAAGGUCUUUUACUUCUUUUGUUAGAUUGAUUCCUAAAUAUUUCAUUUUUCUUGAUGUUAUUGUGAAAGAUGUUGUUUCCCUAAUUUCUCUUUCAGUGAAUUUGUUAUUUGUGGACAGGAAUGCUAUUGAUUUUUGAGUAUUGACUUUGUAUUCUGCUACAUUACUGAAUUUGGUUAUUCAAUCUAGGAAUCUUAUGGUGGCAUUUUUUGGGUCUUCUAUAUAGAGUAUCAUGCUAUCUGUAAAUAACGAUAAUUUAACUUAUUCCUUUCCUAUCCUUAUUCCUUUUAUGUUUUUCUAUUGUCUAAUUGCUCUGGCUGAUGUUCCAGAACUAUAUUAAAUAGGAGUGGUGACAGUGGACAUCCUUGUCUUGUUUCCAAUUUUAGAGUGACAGUUUCAGUUUUUGACCAUUUAGUAUGAUGUUGGUUGUUGGUUUGUCAGAGAUGGCUUUUAUCAGAAUGAUAAAGACCUUAUAUUCCAAUUUUCUGUAGAUUUUUAAAAAAACAUGAAUGGAUGUUGGGCUUUGUCAAAUGCUUUUUCUGUGUCUAUUGAGAUGAUCAUGUGGUUUUUGUUCUUGGUUCUGUUAAUGUGGCGUAUUACAUUUUUUGAUUUGCAUAUGUUGAACCAUCCAUACAUGCCUAGGAUGAAUCCUGCUUGGUCAUGUUAUGUAAGCUUCUUGAUGAUUUUCUGCAUUCUGUUUACCAGUGUCUUACUGAAGAUUUUUGAAUCUAUGUUCAUUAGGGAGCUUGCCCUGUAGUUCUCUUUUUUGGUUGGAUCCUUCUCUAGUUUUUGUAUCAGCAUAAUGCUUGCUUCCAGGAAUAAGUCUGUGAGUAUUGCUUCCUUUCUAAUUUCAUUAAAGAGUUUGAGGAAUAGUGGCAUUAGAUCUUCCCUAGAUUUUAUGUAGAAUUCAGCAGUAAAUCCAUCAGGACCUGAGCUUUUCUUUGUUGAUAGUUUUCUAAUUAUUUUUUCAAUUUUAUUGACAUCAGGUUAUUUUAAAUUUUUAUAUCUUCUUGAUUCAGCUUUGGUAAUUCAUAUGCAUCAAGCAAUUUGUCCAUUUCUCUUGAGUUUUCCACUUUGUUAGAGUACAGUUUCUUGAAAUAGCUAUUGAUUAUAUUCUGGAUUUCUGCAGGCUCCAUUGUGACUUUACCCUUUACAUUCCUAAUUGCAUGGAUUUGAGUCUUUUCUUUCCUUUUUUUUUCCAUAAGCUUGGCUAAAGGUUUGUCUAUUUCAUUUAAUCUUUGAAAGAACCACCUCUUCAAUUCAUUAAUUUUCUGUAAUCUCAGUCUCAAUUGCAUUAAUUUCUCCUCUGAUGUUUAUAAUCCCCCCCCCCCCUUGUGGGUGCUUUGGGUUUAACUUGCUCUUCUUUUACUAGAAGCUUGAUACGCAACAUUAGGUUGUUUAUUUGAGCUUGCUCUGUUUUUCUGAUGUGGAAAUUCACCACUAUGUAUUUCCCUUGUAGGACUGCUUUCAUUGCAUCCCGUAAGAUUUGUAUGUUGUAUUGGCAUUAUCAUUUAAUUGUGGAAACUGUCUAAUUUCUGCUUUAAUUUCAUCUGUGCCCUAUUAGUUGUUCAGGAGGGUAUUAUUUAAUUUCCACAUGUUUGGGAAGUUUUUCUAGCUUCUUUUGCCAUUGAUUUCCAAUUUUAUUGUACUGGGAUCGGAUAAUAUGCACUGGAUAAUUUCAGUGCCUUUGCAUUUAAUUAAGCAUGUUCUGUGGGCUAGUAUGUAGUUUAUUUUGGGAAAAGUUCCAUGUACAGCUGAAAAGAAUGUGUAUUCUGUUGUUGUGGGGUGGAAUACUCUAUACAUAUCUACUGAGUGCAUUUGUUCAAAGGUUUGGUUCAGCUGUAAUAUUUCUUUGUUGAUUUUUUUGUCUAGCUCAUCUAUUUGUGACAGUGAGGCACUGAGGUCCCCUAUUGUAAUUGUAUUAGUACUUAUUUGAUUUUUCACGUCCAUUAUUAUUUGUUUUAUGUAGUUGCGUGGGCUGGUAUUUGGUGCAUAUAUAUUUAUGAUUGUUAUCUCUUAUUCUUGGAUUGUUCCCUUAAUAAGUAUGUAGUGAUCUUCCUUGUCUCUUUUGAUCAGUCUUGGUUUGAAAUCCACUUUGUCUGCAAAUAGAAUAGCCACCUCUGCUUUUUUCUGUGUUCCUGGAGCACGGAGUGUUGUUUCCCAUCCUUUGGUUUUCAGUUUAUUCAUUUCUUUUUGAGUUGAAUGUGUUUCUUGUACGCAGCAUAUUGUUGGAUCUUGUUUCUGGACCCAUUUGGCGAGUCUGUUUCUUUUGAUUGGUGAAUUGAGACCAUUUACAUUGAUGGAUAUAACUGAUAUGUAUUGCCUUAUCCUUGUCAUGUUAUUUUCCUAUUGUUGGUUUCCUUUUUUCCCUUCUGUUUAAUUGCCACAGAAAUACCAUCUCCAGUGAGAAAUGGAUGGAUCCUGUAAUUAUUUAGGAGGCAGAAAGGACAAGACCAACCUGGUAAGGGAUAGGGGGAGGGGAUGAGAGAGUAAAAGAAAGGCUCAAGUUGCCUGGCAUUAUCCUUAAUGAGUGUUGGAUUUGGCACCUAUUGGUUCUGCAAUCUCGGCAAGCUCUUCAGAUGUGUCAAUGCCCCAGUCCCCCAUCUGUAGAGUAGGAAUAGCAGUAACAUCUACUUCAUAGGCUUGUUGUGAGAAGUAAAUGACUUACUACAUGUAAAUUGUUCCUAACUAUGUCUGGCACAGAGUGUUUAGCCUGGGUUAUCUAUCAGUUCUCAUCCUCAUCACCAGGGCCAGGAUGGGAAAGCAGGUAAGUAGGGAGGCUUGUAAGAGAGGAAAACGUGAAUGGUCAGAAGGGGAGUCCAGGAGGAAUGAAGUGGAAGAGCUAGCUCCCUAGUCGAGUGGCUACAGAAUGUUAAACAUCUCUCACCAUCCCUGAAGAGAAAGGUUUCAUUUAACGUGGGACUGAAAGUCAUUUAAGGAGCUCAAGAGAAAUGGGAUUUGAGGCAUGCUGCUUUUACUCGAGAUUUGUGUCAACUGGUUAUACUGCUUUGAUUAUUGUUUUAAGCAUGUCCCGGGGGGUUGGGGCAGGAAAAGAAGAGUUGAGCAUCCUCAUUUUUAGUGGGAAGGACUGUAAGCCAUUCUGGGUCACAGCCAGAGUCUGGAGGGUUGUACCUAACAGAUUUCUGCAACAAUUAAUUGAAGCCCAACAGCAAGAAUAACAUAAGAGGCCUAAGAGAGGUCAUUAACCUCAGGCAGUGGAGGAUGCUGUGCGAGUAGGUAGGACAAGUAGGAAGGAGACACUCCAGGCUGCUGUGACCAGGGCCCAUUAACAGGCAAAGCCCGCUUAUGGGGGUCUGAGAGGCUCAAGUGUUUGGCAUGUAUGACUUUCAUCCUCUUAGUUUUCCCUCCAAGAAGGAGAUAUUAUUGAGCUCAUUUUAAGGAUGAAGAGACAGAGUUUAGAGCUUAAGUAACAUUUUCCACCAACCAGGAAGAAGUAGAGCCAGAUUUCCACCAGGAUCUAUCCCUGUCCUCUUUGCUGUGUGGCAGUCCCUGCUGGUGCUGCUCAGGAUGUGCCGUGUAGGGCAGUGUGUAUCUGCAUUACAGGGGCAAAUUGGUGGCUCCUACUCACUGAGUCUGGGAGCUUACUGAGCCCCAGAAGGAGCAGGGUAUGAGCCCUUGUCAUGUCUCUCACAGGCUGAAGAGAGAGGAGUUCUGGAAGACACAGCUGCAGCUCAGUGAGGAAAAACCUCAUCCUGCAUGAUGUGAUGGCUAAUUUUAUAUGUUGGCUUGACUAGACCAUGGGGUACCCAUAUAUUUGGGGUGCAUAAACAUUCUGGGUGUUCUAUGAAGGUGUGUUGGGAUGAGAUUAACACUUAAAUAGGUAAACUGAGUAAAGCAAAUUACUUUCCCUAAUGUGGGUGGGCCUCAUCCAAUCAGUUGAAAGCCUGACUAGAACAAAGCCUCCCCUGAGUUAGAAGGAAUUCCUCCAGCCUGCCUGCCUUCAAACAGGGACCCUGGCUUUUUCCUGCCUUUAAGAUUUGAACUGAAACAUUGGCUCUUCUCUGAUCUCCAGCUUGCUGACCCUCUUCACAGACCUUGGGAGUUGUCAACCUCCAUAAUCACAUGAGUACACAUGUGCACAUGCACGCAGACACACGCACAUGCACACACACGCACAUGCGCACACACCUAGCUCUAUUUCUCUGAUAAAUAUGGUAUGAUGCCCUGUACAUACAUGACAACAAAUGGUCACCAAGCAAAAAAAAAAAUCUUUCUCUUUAAAACGCAGUAGGUGGUAGCCAUAUUUACAGUAGUAUGUGGGCCCGAGAAGAUAUUAAUUAUCCCUUGCACUAGGUCUUGUGGACCUUGAUCCAAAGACAGGGAGAAUGAAGAUGGCCAGCCUUUGAUGGAGUGCAGUUAAUGGUGCCCUUGUGUGGCUGGCAGGGAACCAAGAUCUGACCUCCUUUUCAGCCCCUGUGAAUGCAACACUGACUGCACUGGUGUCUGCUGGCCAGUCAAGAUGCUCUGCCCCCACCAAGGGUGGAGAAGAAGGGAAGAGCCCGUGUCUCACACAAUGCAAAGCGAAGAAAGGAAGACAUUAAAACCCUUUUUCAAUUCCUAGCAAGGGAAGUUUGGAAAUUACCCUCUGAGACCUUCCUGCUAUAGCUCAUGUAUCUGUUUUGUAUGGAAUUAUGAUUGGUAUUAGUAAUAGUAAUAGCAAGCAGUAAUUGCUAUGUUCUAGUUGUGCUAAGUACUUUAAGCAUAUCAUUUCAUUUAACCUUUACACUACAUGAAGCAGUUUCUCUUUUUAUCCUGUUGUACAAAUGAAAAAACAGACUCAGAGAGAUUGAUUGACUUGCCUAAGAUCUCAUAGCUACUAAUUGGUCCACCAAGGUUUCACCAGGUGAUGUAAUGCUACAGACUAUGCUGGCUAUUCUCUAAGGAGAAUGUGGUCAUUAUCAUUGGGUUCUUUUGAUUGGCUUCAUAAUGCUAAAGAACUCCUUCAUGUUCCUAAGUGAUGUGGUCCCCAACUGACAAUUGCAAUAGAAUGUUGGACAUUUAGACUGAUGACCAGGUGCACAACUUGCCUAUUUGACCAGGUGCCCAGUUUACCUAUUAAAUGUUACCUUACCCAAUGUUGCUUCUGAUUGGGUGUGCCAUCUUUUUAGAUGACAAUUCCUCCUAACAGUAACAUUUUCUGCUUCUCAGGGUUAUAAUCAGGCCACCUGAUUUGGUUCCAAUCCUUGCUGUGCUCCUCAAGCUGAGCAGCCAUGGGAAAGUGACUCAGCUUUCAGAGCCCAGUCUUUGUACCUGUCCAGCAGGGAUUCUAAUGCCUCCCUCAUAGGUCAUCAUGCAGUUCAAGGGUAAAUUUGGCCAAGCACCCCACGCGGUGCCUGGCACUUAGAAGGUGUUCGGAAUGUUCUUCUCCCAGAGAAAAAGUGAUUCCUUCUUGGUCCUGUCGUUACAUCCACCACCUAACUCUUGGAUGCGUCUUAGGGUUUCCUCAAUGCACAUAUAUAGAACCCUUCAGUUCAACUGAGCAAACAUUCAUUGAGUCCAAAUGAGAUACUGCAAAUAUGAUGGUGAAGUAGGCCCGGGGUUCCCAAGUGUCCUUGGCUGCUGGUUUAUUCUUGUCUGUGUGUCCAUGGCACAGGUUCAUAGGACAGACAGGAGGCUGCGCAGGACCUGGGCCUUAGAUGGAUGCUGCUACUUGCCUUUUAGAGACUAGAAUAUGAAUUCUCUAACUUCACUCCAGCAAUGGACAUGACACGCUAAUGUCUCAUAUCGCAGAGCAUGAAUUUUGGAAAGAACCUUCCUAGGGCAUAGUAAAAAGAAUUCUGCUCUGCAACUUGGAGGUGUUCUCUUUAGCAGUAGAAAGGAGGCAUCAGGAUGAAGGCGUUUCUGAUUGGUCUUUCUACUUUCUCUCAUGUUUAUUAUUAUUAUUAUUAUUUUUUAAGAUCCACCCCCAAAAGUCAUCAUUUUAACAGAGGAAAGGGAAAAGCCAUAUGAUCCUGUCACUAGUUGGAGAAAAAGUAUUGGACUAAAUUCUACAGCUGUUCAUGGUAAAAGCUAUCAGGAGACUAGAAGUAGAACAGGAACUUCUCAACAGAUUAAAGACAUGUACUUCAUACUUCCAGCAAGAAUGCCUUAUAUGAAUGGAGAAGAUGCAAUGCUUUUUCCUUAAGGUGGGGAACAAGGGCAGAUAUGCUUACUCUUUAUCUGUCCAUUAAACUUUGAAACCUCGGCCCAAACCAAAAUAGUCUGGCAAUAAAAUGACACAAUUGGGAUAGGAUUGGCAAGGUCGAAGCAAAAUCUUUAUACGUAGAUGAAAUGAUCAUCUACAGAGAAAAUACUAAGAAAUCUCUAGGAGCCCCUAGAACUUGUAUUUGAAUGUAGCAGCAUGAGAAAACACAAGAUGUAUAUAAAAAUUCAGGUCUAUGUAUACUUGCUAUAAAUGAAGAAUUGAAUAUUGAAAUUUAAAAGUUAUGUAGGAGUACAAAGGACCUAGAAAAGUUAAAAAAAAAGUUUUGGGAGGUGUUUAGUACCUAAUUUUAAGACUUCUUCUAAAGGUACAGGAAUCAAAGCAGUGCUGGUGUAAGGAAAGAAGUACAGAUCAUUGGAAUAAAACAGAGAAUCUAGAAAUAGAACCACACAUAUAUGGUCCACUGAGUUUUGAAAGGUUAUUUAACAUUAGCUUUUAUAGAAUAUAAACUCAAUUCAAGAGCCGAGGAAGAGAUAGUUUUCAGCCAAUGGCACUAGAACACCUGGUAUCCAUAUAUAAAAAAUUAACCUCAAC